rnacentral:lncRNA from 1 species
ACUCACUAUGUAGCGCAGAUUGACCUCAAACUCUAGAUGAUCCUCCUGCCUCAGCCUCCCCAGUGCUGGGAUUGCACGACUACUCCUGGUGAUGACAAAUAGUUUUAAGAGAAUUCAGGAUUUUAAACAGACCUGAAGAUCAGUGGAAUAUAUUAGAAGAUGCACAAACAACUCCAGACAUACUCAGCCACCUCAUCUUUGACAAAGGAGUCAAACACCCUCACUGGAGGAAAGAUAGCCUAUUUAAUAAAUGGUGUUGGAAAAACUGGAUUUCAACCUGCCAAAGAUUAAAACUAAACCCAUAUCUAUCACCACGCACUAAACUAAGAUCAAAGUGGAUUAAAGAUCUAAAUAUUAAAACAGAAACACUAAGCUUGCUGGAAGAUAAGUUAGGUAGAACUCUUGAAGACAUUGGCAUAGGAAAAGACUUUAUGAACAAGUCCUCAGUAGCACGGGAACUAGCACAAAGAAUCAACAACUGGGAUCUCAUCUUAUUAAAAAGCUUCUGCACUGCAAGAGAAACCACCAGCAGUGUGAAGAGACAACCCACAGUGUGGGAAAAAAAUUUUAGCAGCUGUACCUCAGACGAAGGACUACUAUCUAGAAUACAUAAAGAACUGAAAAAAAAUCAGACCCCCAAAUUCAAAGACCCAAUUCAAAAAUGGACAUCUGAAAUGAACAGACAUUUCUCAAAGAAGUAAAAGCAGCAAAUAAACAUAUGAAAACAUGUUCAACAUCACUGAUCAUUCCAGAGAUGCAGAUGGAAACAACACUGAGAUUCCAUCU